rnacentral:rRNA from 1 species
CAAUCCAGGUCGGUUUCUAUCUAUGACGCCGCCUUCUUCAGUACGAAAGGAUAAAGAAGGGAGGGCCCAUGCUAAAAGCACGCCCAUAAACCCGGNCUGAAAAAAACUAAAGCCUANCGGCAAUCAACNCGAGCCAAGAUGCCGGCU